rnacentral:ncRNA from 1 species
AGCAAUCCUAUGAUAGGGAGAGUAGAUAUAGUGAUUGUUCCAGCGAGCUAGAGUUUGGUGUGAGUCUAGCACAUAGCUAUAUUGAAGCGCACCCUUGAGGAGGUUUUCUGAACUAAUAGUAGGAAAAUUCGGUUUCCACCGUUAAAGGGAUAUGAGAGGGCAUUUUUAGAUUACUAUGCCAAUAAGAGUGGUAACGCGGGAAAAACUCUCGUCUCUUGA